rnacentral:lncRNA from 1 species
GCCGAGCUCGCCACUCCCGAAACCACUGUCAAAAAGAUGCUGAAUUGACUCAUUAUUAUCUCUUGGUUCGGUGUCCUCGUCAGAAUGAAUCAAAACAGGCUCGGUGGUGGAGGUUCAAGCAGGAGUGUUUUCAAUUUCAUCAUCAAUGAUUAUUCGCCUCUUGACCCUUGGCCUGGUAAUUAGGGAGGUACCCUCCUCUUCUUCUUCAGAACUUUCCUUUAUAGCUUUCCUUUUUGGCAGCAAGGCUCGAGCCUUGUCCAAAUCAAGAGCAGCAUUCGCAGACAUGCGAAUGGCCAUAGCUACUUCAGCCGUCAUUCCUCUAAUGCCAAAUCUUGAUUAAAGUAUGGAUAUACAUAAUCAAAGUUGAGGAAAAAAUGCUUAACAUGUAAAAAAAAUACAUAUAAAAAGGGGGAUACCAUGUGUUUUGACCUUCCAGCCAUGUAAGGAAGAAAUUGAUUUUCAAGUUCUUUGCUCCCUAGAAGCAAUCUUCAAAGUGAGUCUACCCAACCACGGAAGUUGGGAAUAGGUUCCACAUCUCCCAUGGUUGCUACAAAAAACCAAGAAGAGACGAGGUUAAAAACAAAAUUUCUUUUGAAAUUCUCAAAAGUAGGUACGGUAAAUAAAAGAAACCUACGUUCAAAAUUCCAGUUCUCAGGGAAGGGAAUAUUUGUUUCUCCAAUCAAGUCCACCGUAUGAACAGCAACGUAACGGAUAUACCAUCCAUGAUCUUUGUCAUCUUCAGGAUUUACCAAAAAAUAAUUUUGCUCCUUGCAGUUAAGGUAAAAACCCCAUGGCGUAUUAAGUUAGGAUGGUACAGAUGAAUGGGGUGAGAAAAGGUGAAAUUGACAUUGGCUUUGGAGGAUAAAUAUCUCAAACAAGCCACUGUUCUCCACACUAAUGGACCGAUUUGGGCCAAACAAAUUGUAAAGAAACGACAAAAAUCGAGAAUAACUGGGUCAAUCGGAGGAUUAAAACCUAAAGUGAAGGGGUAAGUAUAAAC